UAAGGGUUCUGGAUCUUUUGCUUUUCCAAGUUCUACGCCUUUAGUUCUUUUCCUUCUUCUCAGAUUGAUCUUACCAAUGCUUAGGUUAGUCACUCUUUCAUUUUUCUAGCCAUAUCUUUCGAAAUAUUCUUAUCUCUUUCUUGGUUUAGCAGUAAACAGGCAUAAUUUGAGAAUCACGGUAUGGGCUAGCAAAGCAAAAUAACCGAGAAAGAGAGGCACACCAAUAAUCCACCAUAACCCCAGCAUAGCACCUGAAAGAGGGAAUCAAACACAGGGAAUAAAGAUGUUGCAAGGAUAUCAAAUAAGGAUGUAAAAAGGAUCACACCUCUGCAAGAAUACAUGCCGAAGAUUAUACAACAACAACAUACCCAGUGUAAUCCACAUGCCGAAGAUAAUAUGCCUAUGAAAAGGUUAGGUGCUGCGAAUUAUACAAAGUGUUUCAGAAAACUAGAUUCUUGAUAGUGUGGAAUUACAGAUACACGAUUUCAGAAAA